rnacentral:rRNA from 1 species
GACGAACGCUGGCGGCGUGCUUAAUACAUGCAAGUCGAACGGAAAGGCCCUGCUCUUGUGGGGUGCUCGAUUGGCGAGCGGGUGUGUAUCACGUGAGUAAACUGCCCCUGACUUUGGGAUAACUCCAGGAAACAGGGGAUAAUAUCGGAUAUGAGCUACUGCUGCACGGUGGGGGUUAGAAAGUUUCGGCGGUUGGGGAUGGACUCGCAGCAUAUCCGCUUGUUGGUGAGGUAGUGGCUUUCCAGGGUUUUGACGGGUAGCCGGCCUGAGAGGGUGACCGGCCACAUUGGGACUGAGGUACGGCCCAGACUCCUACGGGAGGCAGCAGUGGGGAAUAUUGCACAAUGGGCGGAAGCCUGAUGCAGCAACGCCGCGUGCGGGAUGACGUCCUUCGGGUGGUAAACCGCUUUCGCCUGUGACGAAGCGUGAGUGACGGUAAUGGGUAAAAAAGCACCGGCUAACUACGUG